GAUACCUAUGUUAUGUUGCAGUUUAACUCAUAAAUAUUUAUGCUUUGGUUUCUUUGUUUUUCCACAAGAUAUGGUUGUUCUUCCUUACAAGGAUAGCCUAUUAUUAUUUAGUAGGUAUUUACAACAGUUGGUCAUGGAGUCACUUGGGAAGAAGUCUGACUUGGAUGGUAAUCGGGUGCAAGGAAAAGAUCGCCUACUUGUAAAGUGUGUGGCCGAGUAGUUGGAAUUGGAAGGAUCAUACGUUCCUCGUACUUAUAUAGAACAAAUACAGCUGGAGAAACUUGUAGAUGAGGUUAUGGCAUUACCAGAUGACUUGAAGACAAAACUCAGCAUGGAUGAUGAUCUGGUGGUAGCAAGUCCCAAAGAAGCACUUUCUCGAGCUGCAGAGAGGGUUGCCAUGAGAAAUAAGAAUCUCAGGAGGUAUCAAGCAUACAAUUACGAGAUGACCUUUUGUCAAUGUUAGUUUCUGGGCAUGAGACCACUGGUUCAGUGUUGACUUGGACAGCAUAUCUUCCGAGCAGGGAAUAACAUAUAGUACCUUUUAUCUUAAUGAGUGGUUUUAUUUAUUUGAACCAUUAUACUGAAAAUCUUGUAGAUUUUUCAAUACAUGGCCAAGCAAAGCUACCCAACAGAAAAUCUUGUAGAUUUUUCAUUUUUUCUGCACUUCAUUAAUAGGAAAAUUAGUUAAUGACU